GAUGAACGCUGGCGGCGUGCCUAAUACAUGCAAGUCGAGCGAACAGAUGAGGAGCUUGCUCCUCUGACGUUAGCGGCGGACGGGUGAGUAACACGUGGAUAACCUACCUAUAAGACUGGGAUAACUUCGGGAAACCGGAGCUAAUACCGGAUAAUAUAUUGAACCGCAUGGUUCAAUAGUGAAAGACGGUUUUGCUGUCACUUAUAGAUGGAUCCGCGCCGCAUUAGCUAGUUGGUAAGGUAACGGCUUACCAAGGCAACGAUGCGUAGCCGACCUGAGAGGGUGAUCGGCCACACUGGAACUGAGACACGGUCCAUACUCCUACGGGAGGCAGCAGUAGGGAAUCUUCCGCAAAGGGCGAAAGCCUGACGGAGCAACGCCGCGUGAGUGAUGAAGGUCUUCGGAUCGUAAAACUCUGUUAUUAGGGAAGAACAAAUGUGUAAGUAACUAUGCACGUCUUGACGGUACCUAAUCAGAAAGCCACGGCUAACUACGUG
rnacentral:rRNA from 1 species